rnacentral:tRNA from 13 species
GGUAGCGUGGCCGAGUGGUCGAAGGAGCUGGUUUUAGGCACCAGUCUUUCGAGGCGUGGGUUCGAAACCCACCGCUGCCA